rnacentral:rRNA from 1 species
CCCUCGUCGUAUGUUGCCAGCAUUAAAGUUGGGGGAACGUCAGUACGAGACUGCCGGGGUCGAACUCGGAGGAAGGUGGGGAUGACGUCAAGUCAUCAUGCCCCUUAUGCCUAGGGCUGCACGCAUGCUACAAUGGCUGGUACAAAGGGCUGCAAUACCGUGAGGUGGAGCGAAUCCCAAAAGCCAGUCUCAGUUCGGAUUGGGGUCUGCAACUCGACCCCAUGAAGUCGGAGUCGCUAGUAAUCGCAGAUCAGCAAUGCUGCGGUGAAUACGUUCCCGGGCCUU